rnacentral:tRNA from 1 species
GUUUAAAUAGUUUAAUUAAAAUUUUGAUUUGUGGAGUCAAAGAUGUAUAUUUUUACUUUAGACC